GUUCGCUUUGGCAGUACAUAUACUAAAAUUGGAACAAUAAAGAGAAGAUUAGCAAGGCCCCUGAGUAAGGACGACACGCAAGUUCGUGAAGUGGUACAAACAAAA